CUACGGGGGGCUGCAGUGGGGAAUAUUGGACAAUGGGAGAAAUCCUGAUCCAGCAAUUCUGUGUGCAUGAUGACGGUCUUCGGAUUGUAAAGUGCUUUCGACAGGGAAGAAUAAAUUGACGGUACCUGUAUAAGAAGCGACGGCUAAAUACGUGCCAGCAGCCGCGGUAAUACGUAUGUCGCAAGCGUUAUCCGGAAUCACUGGGCAUAAAGGGCGUCUAGGCGGUUUGAAAAGUCAGUGGUGAAAGGUAUGGGCUCAACCCGUGCAUUGCCAUUGAAACUCUUAAACUAGAGUAUGGGAGAGGAGGGCGGAACUACAAGAGUAGCGGUGAAAUGCGUAGAUAUUUGUAGGAAUGCCAAUGACGAAGGUAGCUCUCUGGACCAAUACUGACGCUAAAGCGCGAAAGCUAGGGUAGCAAACAGGAUUAGAUACCCGCGUAGUC
rnacentral:rRNA from 1 species